AAAAGACAACAGUUGUUUAUAGACUCUCUGUGGUACUUGACUGAUUCUGUUGCUUCUCUAACUCUAUAUAUUACAGUAUAUAUAGACUUUUAUGGAUGGUUAAUCAGAGUAAAGUACUGAACCAAAGUGUUGUUUUAUUCAUAAUGAAAAUUAUAUCACCACUGUUUCUCAGACUUCUUUAGACUCCUUUCAUAAACUCAAACUGUUUGCAGACUCCAACCACCAGAGGCAGGAAAUAACCUAACAGCAUGUAUACUCAUGGAAUAAAGUCUCUUACUUCAAUUUAACCAACACAGAAACAUCGUUUCAAGUGGUUUUAAUUUCAGGCGGUAAUUUUUCAUUUCUUCUGAUGAAUUAUGGUGACAUUGCUGUAACAGGACAUCCAGUGCAGGCUGGUUAUGACACAGUAAACUCCACACACUACUUUGUGAUUCCCGAAUCAGUCAAUGGCAGCUUCAUCUCAAACCUCAAGAACUCCAGUAAUGUCAAUGUUCUCGGUCGAUGGGUCUUCAGGGUGGACGGUGAACCAAGAAACAGCAUCUUGAACAACAAUGUUGUUGGAUUUCGAGUGAGACUUUCCUCAUUUUUAGACCUGACACGUAAUGGCAGCACUGAAAUAGUUUUGGAGCAAAUCAAGCAGGAGCUGGUCAAGUACGGUCUGCCAAACAACAUCGAACUGAAGUUAAGAAAACUGCAAAAGAUAAAGCCAUAAUUUCCUUCUCCUUCAGGAAGAGAAGUAAAACCAGUUUGUUUAGCAUUUGACAACAAAUAUCCCUGAUGACUGAUGAUGUAAAAGUUUCAGUUUUUCAUUAAGGUGAUUUACAAAGGAUUCAAACCAGCAUAAAAUUAUCAUAGAAGAGGUCCAUUAGAUCCUCCUUUUUUCCUUUUUUCUUUUUUCUUUGCAUAUCAAUCAUGUUGUGUGUAUCAGUUUAAACUUUACUGUAAGUAAAACACUUUUGUCUCAUUCACCUUCAUUAGAACCAUAACUUACAUAGGGUACAACUUAACUUAGGGUACAAUACUUAAACUGCAUAAUGUACAGUACAGUAUCAUUUGAAUGCAGUGUACAUCGCUUUGAAUUAAAGAAUCUGCCAAAUGCAUAAAUGUCAAAUUCUAUCUCACUUUUAACAUGGGCAUCUAAAUUUGUGGCUUAUCAAAAAAAAAUUUAAAAAAUGUUUAGUUUUUGUGUGUUCUGUUGACCUGUUCCCCUGUGACCUAGUUUUCCUUCAUUUCCUGAUUACCAUUCUGUUCACCUGUGUAUGAUUAUUUUACUCGUCAGCUCCUUAGUUUACUCCACUACUUAAACCCUCAGUUCUCUCUUAGCCUUUGUCCAUUCUUAUCUAUGUUAAGUUGGUACUUGUACUCUUUGUAUUUGGAUUUACUUAAUUAAAAGAAUUUUCUGUCAUCUCCAUCGUGAUCACUCCAUCUGCUUCACCA
ensembl:lncRNA